CUUCCGCAAUGGACGAAAGUCUGACGGAGCGACGCCGCGUGAGCGAUGAAGGUCUUCGGAUUGUAAAGCUCUGUUGUUAGGGAAGAACAAGUACCGGAGUAACUGCCGGUACCUUGACGGUACCUAACCAGAAAGCCCCGGCUAACUACCUGCCAGCAGCCGCGGUAAUACGUAGGGGGCAAGCGUUGUCCGGAAUUAUUGGGCGUAAAGGGCAUGCAGGCGGUUAUCUAAGUCUGAUGUGAAAUCUUGUGGCUUAACCACAAGCGGUCAUUGGAAACUGGAUAACUUGAGUGCAGAAGAGGAGAGUGGAAUUCCACGUGUAGCGGUGAAAUGCGUAGAGAUGUGGAGGAACACCAGUGGCGAAGGCGGCUACCUGGACUGAUACUGACACUGAGGUGCGAAAGCGUGGGGAGCAAACA
rnacentral:rRNA from 1 species